rnacentral:tRNA from 1 species
GACACUUUGGCCGAGUGGUUAAGGCGCAGGCCUGCUAAGUCUGCAACAGGGUUCGAAUCCCAGAGGUGUCG